rnacentral:rRNA from 1 species
UACGUAGGGACCGAGCGUUGUCCGGAUUCAUUGGGCGUAAAGAGCUCGUAGGCGGCUGCUCAAGUCGAAUGUGAAAACUCGAGGCUCAACCUCGAGCCUGCAUUCGAUACUGGGCGGCUAGAGUCUGGUAGGGGGAUCUGGAAUUCCUGGUGUAGCGGUGGAAUGCGCAGAUAUCAGGAGGAACACCGGUGGCGAAGGCGGGUCUCUGGGCCGAUACUGACGCUGAGAAACGAAAGCCAGGGUAGCAAACGGG